GCUUCCAUAGCACAGACUAAAACUGGAAGAAUGCCAAGAUGAUUAGCAUGGUCCCUGCACAAGGAUGAUGUGAAGUUUUGAAGCAUUUCAUAAUUUU
ensembl:snRNA U6 U6 spliceosomal RNA